rnacentral:rRNA from 1 species
GCAAGUCGAACGGUAACAGGCCCUUCGGGGCGCUGACGAGUGGCGGACGGGUGAGUAAUGCAUAGGAAUCUACCUUUAAGUGGGGGACAACCUGGGGAAACUCAGGCUAAUACCGCAUAAUUCCUAAGGGAGAAAGCAGGGGACCUUCGGGCCUUGCGCUUUUAGAUGAGCCUAUGUCGGAUUAGCUUGUUGGUGGGGUAAAGGCCUACCAAGGCGACGAUCCGUAACUGGUCUGAGAGGAUGAUC